UCUGCAUAACCUAACAGGCCUGAUUGCCACCAGCACUGCAGCAAAUGGCUCGGCCUCUUUGCAACCAAACGCUUCAAGAUGUUUUCUGAAUAAACUGCUGGCUUCUUCUCUGCUGCAUUUCCGAUGGAGUUAGUGCCUGUUGCUGAUGCUGCGUGUUCAUGAUUAAGACUUGCUAGAGCUCAGUCUUUACAUACAGAUCUUGUACUCCUCAAAAUGACAGUUCUGAGAGCAAGUGGGCUGUUAAAAUAAAGGUGAACUGAGUAUGACCAGAACUGAACAUAUGAUAGAUUUUGGUCUGUCCCUAUCAGAGCAAAGAGGCUCUGUGAAUGUAGUUGAGCUUUCUCUCUUCAGUUUAUAGUUAGGCUCUUUUCUAUUAAUUAAGGUUUGGACAGUCCCUGCAGGAGUGGCUACAAUGCUCUUGUCUAUUGAAAUAUUUUCAGCUGGAACUCUAUCCACUAUUUCUGCAUUUCUGUGGUCAGAGAUGAAUUGGUCACAGCACUGACAAUUUUUUUUUUUCAGUAGGACAGAAAAAGUGUCUGUUUAACCCCUGGACAUAGAAGGGUCCAAACUCCCAAAAGAUUCAGUUUCAAGAAUCCUCUGCCUUUUCAGGGCUCCACUGUUUUCAGUUUGCUUCUUGGAACAGCAGCUGGCCUGCAAAAUCAGAUGUCAAAGGAGGUUCUUCCUGUCACUUCCAAGAAGUCUGACUCAACUGAGGAAUGCACCAGGUGAAAUCCUAGACAUGGUGUGCAAGCCUGCCUGGCUGAUGGGACGGAGGCUUAACCCAGUGCCCUGGUGAACCACUUGCAGGCAAUACAUAUGGGGACUGCAUAAGUCUGAGAACCUGGUGCUGCUGGUGGGAAACAGGUGAGUUCCUAGCUGAUCUCCCUCUUUCAAAGCAAAAUACAAACACACACACACAUAUAUGCACAUAUUUUUAUACAUUUGUAGCCAAUUUAAUUAAAUGAAAUUCCUUACAAGCUGGGACUGAACAAGACAAGAUUGAAUCAAUAACUGCUUUUUUUUUCUUUCUGUUUUUUUUUUUUUUUUCAAUUCCUGUGUUCAAACAUAAGUCCCUAAGAAAGAAGGGCUGGAUAUUCCAACACAGGAAAGUGUUGGCUUUUCAAACUGAUUGUUUACAAAAGGUUUUAGUUAAAUCACCUCAUUGAUUAACAAAGACUAGGGCUAUGCCUCUGUGAACCACUGUUACUAC
rnacentral:lncRNA from 1 species